AAACCAACAGGGAUUGCCUCAGUAACGGCGAGUGAAGCGGCAAAAGCUCAAAUUUGAAAUCUGGCGUCUUUGGCGUCCGAGUUGUAAUUUGAAGAUGGCAACUUUGGGUCUGGUGCUUGUCUAAGUUCCUUGGAACAGGACGUCAUAGAGGGUGAGAAUCCCGUAUGAUGAGAGAGCCAGAUCUUUGUAAAGUGCCUUCGAAGAGUCGAGUUGUUUGGGAAUGCAGCUCUAAGUGGGUGGUAAAUUCCAUCUAAAGCUAAAUAUUGGCGAGAGACCGAUAGCGAACAAGUACAGUGAUGGAAAGAUGAAAAGAACUUUGAAAAGAGAGUGAAAAAGUACGUGAAAUUGUUGAAAGGGAAGGGUUUGAGAUCAGACAUGGUAUUUUGUACACCUUCUCUCUCGGGAGGGGGCCUCUGCAGUUUACUGGGCCAGCAUCAGUUUGGACGGUAGGAUAAUGAUUAAGGAAUGUGGCUCUUCUUCGGGAGAGUGUUAUAGCCUUGGUUGAUACUGCCUGUCUAGACUGAGGACCGCGUCUUUGACUAGGAUGUUGGCAUAAUGAUCUUAAGCCAC
rnacentral:rRNA from 1 species